rnacentral:rRNA from 1 species
UACGUAGGGGGCGAGCGUUGUCCGGAUUUAUUGGGCGUAAAGAGCGUGUAGGCGGCCAGGUAGGUCUGCUGUGAAAACUCGAGGCUCAACCUCGAGACGUCGGCGGAAACCAUCUGGCUAGAGUCCGGAAGAGGAGAGUGGAUUUCCUGGUGUAGCGGUGAAAUGCGCAGAUAUCAGGAAGAACACCCGUGGCGAAGGCGGCCUUCUGGACCAGUACUGACGCUCAUGCACGAAAGCGUGGGGAGCAAACAGG